rnacentral:lncRNA from 1 species
CUUUUCCAUUUAUAUUAAAUUUCAAGAAUAAUAACAUGCAUAUAUCUCUUCUCAUCACUGGUCAGCAUCCAGCCCCUGUCGCUACAUCAAGGUCACAUGCUACUUGGGAAGGUGCAGGUGUAGAUGCACCGGCAACCCUGGGCGGCGCAACCACCAACUCCGCCCUUGAACUGGCGCGCACAGUCCGCCUUGCACUUGGCCGCCUCGCACUUGGUACCCGUGGGGAUUACGGCCGAGCAAGUGUCUUGGAAGUACUGGGGCCCAACUGCCUUGCCCGCCAUGCCGCAUGCAUUACGCAUUUUUCAAUUAAGCUCGUUAACCUAAACUGGAAAUUUUCCUGCAGGUACUUGCAAUAUUGUAUCAAUAUCCACGGAAGCAUCGUAAGUUCGUAACAUCUUUGUACCUGAUGAUGAUGCGACGAGGACCAUGGCUAGGAGCAGUACCAUAUAGAUGGUCUUCAUAUUUGGCGUCGGUUGAUAGAUUUCCCUCGUACUGCUGGGAUGGGCAGUGCUUGGUUGUUCUCUUGGUUCGCGAUGGUCUUCCUCUGUUGUUAGGCUGGUGGAUCGAGUCAGGACGGUUUUAUAUUGGUGAUGCGCUUGUUACUUUUGGAAAUAUAAAGAGGCAAGGAAUAAAUGCAUUGAUGAUCAGAUAUAUGGAU